AUUGAACGCUGGCGGAAUGCUUUACACGUGCAAGUCGAACGGCAGCACGGACUUCGGUCUGGUGGCGAGUGGCGAACGGGUGAGUAAUGUAUCGGGACGUGCCCAGUCGUGGGGGAUAACGUAGUGAAAAUUACGCUAAUACCGCAUACGAUCUAUGGAUGAAAGCGGGGGAUCGCAAGACCUCGCGCGAUUGGAGCGGCCGAUAUCAGAUUAGGUAGUUGGUGGGGUAAAGGCCCACCAAGCCAACGAUCUGUAGCUGGUCUGAGAGGACGACCAGCCACACUGGAACUGAGACCCGGUCCAGACUCCUACGGGAGGCAGCAGUGGGGAAUUUUGGACAAUGGGCGAAAGCCUGAUCCAGCCAUUCCGCGUGCAGGAUGAAGGCCCUCGGGUUGUAAACUGCUUUUGUACAGAACGAAAAGGUUUCUACUAAUACUAGGAGCUCAUGACGGUACUGUAAGAAUAAGCACCGGCUAACUACGUGCCAGCAGCCGCGGUAA
rnacentral:rRNA from 1 species